rnacentral:rRNA from 1 species
UACGGAGGAUCCAAGCGUUAUCCGGAUUUAUUGGGUUUAAAGGGUGCGUAGGCGGUCGAAUAAGUCAGAGGUGAAAAUUUGCGGCUUAGCCGUAAACCUGCCUUUGAAACUGUUUAACUAGAAUAAACCUGAAGUAGGCGGAAUGUGACAAGUAGCGGUGAAAUGCAUAGAUAUGUCACAGAACACCAAUUGCGAAGGCAGCUUACUAAAGUUUCAUUGACGCUGAGGCACGAAAGCGUGGGGAUCAAACAGG